CAUAAAGUCAUAUUAAUUUAUUAUUACUAUUAUUUAUAAUAUCGUUAAAACAUAACUUGGCAAUUAUACUAAAAUCUCAAUUGUAAUUUGUAUGUAACUCCACACAGACUCCUUCAUGAGGAGUCUCCUUCUAUCUUUUGAUGCCGGUCGUUUAACAUCCAAUUCAGGAAUUGAAGAAUCUUCAUACCUUUACCAGACAUUUCUUCAUAUUUUAAAAAAUCCUUUCGACCACUGCUGCUCUGCACACUGACUCCUUCACC